UCCUUUUCUCCACCUCCCCUCCCCUCCUCUCCCCCUUUCCUUUUCCUCUUCAUGUCUCCUUUCCUUUUCUUUUCUCACUUUUUCUCUCUCUCUCUGUCUUAAAUAGUUUAUUUAUUUAUUCAUGAAGAAGGUGAGAGGAGAGAAAGAAAGAACCAGACAUCACUCUGGUACAUGUGCUGCAGGGAAUUGAACUCAGGGCCUCAUACUUGAGAGUCAAUGCUUUAUCCGCCACACCACCUCCCAGACCACAUUCAUUUUCUCUUUUGUUCUUCCUUUUCCCCUUCUCCCUCCAUGUUUACUCUGUCCCCCUCCUUCCCUCCAUUCAUUCCUUUUUACUUUUUUUUUCUCAUUUUCCUUUCCUUUCCCUUCCCUUCCCUCGCUCUCUCUCUCCCCUCUGGCAUAUGGUCGUGUAGCAGGUUGAACCUGAGACUUCUGAGCUUUAGGAAUGAAAGUCCUUUUGCAUCACCACUGUGCUAGCUCCCUGAUUUUUCUUUCCUAGCAGAUACAGAGCUUGCCCGUGUUCAGAGGUGAGCACUGAACACUAGAAGCAAGGAAGGAAUUGCUCUUCUUACAGAUUUGCAGAGCCAGGCUUCUCACAUCUGGGACUUGCUCUCCUCUGAUAGCACUAUUACUACUUCCGGUUCCUGGGUAGCUUUGCUGCUAAUGUCUUCAUGGGCUUUGUAGGCAUGUUGCUUGACAGUCAGUCCAAAGGCUAGGAAUGGAGGGGCUUCACACCGAUGUGAUUUGACCACUCCUGGUGGACUCUUUCCUCUGUUAGAUGCAGAAGCAGAGAUAGAAGGAGGACACCACAGCACAGCUCUGCCACUCAUGAAGCCUCCCCUGGUGCCCUGGUGCCUCCAUGGUUCUCCUGCAUGGUCUGGGGCUUGGGGUGGGAUGAACCUGGGCCUUUUCACACGGGAAGCAUGCAUUCUGUCAUAUGAGCUGUCUCUAGCACCAUUACUCCCUUUAGGAACACUCUUUCAGCUAGCCUUUGCUCUUCUUGUGUCCCUCGAACUGGUCAAACUGACAGAUAAGCCUUGGCGCUCCGUACUUUGGUGCUGGAUAGAGACUUCCUUUUGCAUGCCUCUGCCUACAGUGACAAGUUGUCCCCACUUCCUGACUACAGUUAAAACCCAUAUCAUCCUUCUUGCUUUCAGCAGAUGUUUUGCAACUGUUUGAGCCCUUUUCUCACCAUCUCCACAGACCCCCUCAACUAUUUUCUUUGUAGAGCAACGCAAGCAAGUGGUGAUGAACAGAAAGAACUGGGAUUAUCUUUCUUAAAACUAUGUACAAACAAGACAUUCACAUUCGCUCCAUGCUUAGAGACAUAAAUGAUACAACUGAAAAAAAGUGGAAGUCCUUCUUCAACUCCUUUUUGAACCUGGUUGUCCUUGUUGAAGGUGGACACCAUUACACUGCUCUCCAUCCUCACUCUUGCAGAGGGUGUGUGAAGAAAGGCCUGUCAGGACAUGGAGAUCAUGCCACGUGACACGGUUAUUGUUAAUGCAAAAAGAGCUUCUCUGUCCUACAGUUGUGCCUCCAUGAAGUAUGUGUGAAGCCUAGGUCUGUCCCUAGAAGCACUGUCAGUGGACAUCGUGAAUCACCCUUCCCCUCAACCUGGAGCCGGAACUAUUGACUCCAGAGUAGGGUGGGGUAUAUAAAUGCCUAGAAUAAUCUUUCAACCAAAGAGCCAGUACUGUAUCCAUUGCAUGCAUUUUCUCAGACAGUUAUUCCCAGGAACUUUCCAGGAUAUCCAGGGAAAAGAGGUAGUGUAGUGACACAGAUCAUGCCUGUAGCAGACUGAACAGCACCCCCUCCCCAUAACACAUGGAUACUCAUUAGACUGUGUAAAUAGCACCUUACUUGGGAAGGGGGACUUUGCAGUUAUGAUUAAGUUAAAGAUUUUUUUUUUAGAUUUUAUUUGCAAAAUAGUAUUUGAUUAAAAGACUGCAAGAGGUCAGAGUGCUUGCCCCAGCAGUAACCCAGUGGAGACAGACACACACAGCAAAUUGUCAGGAAUCCUCUGACUGAAUAUUCCCCUUUUUAAAAGUAAAUGUUUUGUUUAUUUAAUUUUUUAAAGAUUUUUAAUAUUUAUUAAUUUAUUUCCUUUUUGUUGUCCUUGUUUUUUAUUACUGUUGUAGUUAUUAUUGUUGAUGUUGUUGUUGUUGGAUAUGACAGAGAUAAAUGGAGAGAGGAGGGGAAGACGGGGAGAGAAAGACACCUGCAGACCUGCUUCACCGCCUGUGAAGUGACUCCCCUGCAGGUGGGGAGCGGGGGCUCGAACUGGGAUCCUUAUGCCAGUCCUUGCGCUUUGCACCACGUGCGCUUAACCCGCUGCACUACUGCCCGACUCCAAUUUAUUUAAUUUUUAGUGAUACAGAUACAGAGAAAAAGUCAUCGAGAAAGACUAGAGCCCUGCUGAGCUCUGGCUUAUGGUGGUGCUGGGGAUUGAUUCUGGGACCUAAGAGCUUUAGGCAGGAAAAGUAUUUGGCAGAACCAUGAUGCUAUUUCCCGAGCCCUGGAUAAUCCCCUUGAUACGAGUGACUUUAUGUUGAACAAUACCAGCCACCUGAUAUUGGCGGGGGUAGACAGCACAGUGGCUUUGCAGAGACUCUCAUGCCUGAGGCGCCACAGGCCUAGGUUCAUUCAAUCCCGAGCACCACCAGAGGUGAGCAGUACUCUGGGAGAAAAACAAACAAAAAAGUAAAAUAAAGUGACUUUACUCAAA